UACGAAGGGGGCUAGCGUUGUUCGGAAUUACUGGGCGUAAAGCGCGUGUAGGCGGACGACCAAGUCGGGGGUGAAAUCUUUCGGCUCAACCGGAAAAUAGCUUUCGAUACUGGCCGUCUUGAGCGGGGUAGGGGCAUGCGGAACUUCCGGUGGAGCGGUUAAAUGCGUUGAUAUCGGAAGGAACUCCGGUGGCGAAAGCGGCGUGCUGGACCUCUUCUGACGCUGAGGCGCGAAAGCUAGGGGAGCAAACGGG
rnacentral:rRNA from 1 species